GAUGAACGCUGGCGGCGUGCCUAAUACAUGCAAGUCGAGCGAACGGACGAGAAGCUUGCAUCUCUGAUGUUAGCGGCGGACGGGUGAGUAACACGUGGAUAACCUACCUAUAAGACUGGGAUAACUUCGGGAAACCGGAGCUAAUACCGGAUGAUAUUUUGAACCGCAUGGUUCAAAAGUGAAAGACGGUCUUGCUGUCACUUAUAGAUGUAUCCGCGCUGAUUUAGCUAGUUGUUAAGGUAACGGCUUACCAAGGCAAGAUACCAUAGCCGACCGGGGAGGGGGACCGGCAAAACGGGAACGGAGACACGGUCCAAACUCCUACGGGAGCAAGCAGAAGGAAAUUUUCGGAAAUGGGCGAAAUCCGAACGGAGCAACGCCGCGUGAUGGAUGAAGGUCUUCGAAUCUUAAAACUUUGUUAUUAGGGAAGAACAUAUGUGUAAGUAACUGUGCACAACUUGACGGUACCUAAUCAGAAAGCCACGGCUAACUACGUG
rnacentral:rRNA from 1 species